ensembl:lncRNA
GAGGGAGACAGCAGCGGGCAGGCAGCGCGUCACAUCAGGCGCCGUUUUGCAUCCAGAAAAUCUUGACGCGGGUCAAUAACCACAUUGACUGAUGCCGUGAUCGCACGAGCCACUUCCCGGUCACCGCUCUUCACGGAGACCGCAGAGGAGACAAGCUGGGACAAAUCAGUACAGACAAAGAUAAAUACACAUAUAUAUAAAUAUAAAUAUCCCAGUAUCAACAAAACCACACAUACUGCCAGAGGCAACGAGGGGACGUUGGUGCCGCGGACACCUGCGAGGCGAAGCUCUUCUUCUUCUUCUUUUUCUACGCUUGCAUCUGGAACAGUGAUGUGAAAAGUGCUCUGAGACUGAAGGCUCAGCUGGUUUGGAAAAGACCUCCAUCUGCAAAGGGACCGGUUCUCACACCAAGUACAGAGCAGCACGCAAUGAGGAAGAAAGAAAAGAGGUGCUUGUCCAAUCAGAGGUGCAGAUGGCCACAGAAGACAUGAAUACCAGCCAAUCUGGCACUAGGACGACUUCCACUUGCCAAAUCAUACAUAAAUCAAAUGUGACCCCGCUAAUUAAUCGACUU